rnacentral:tRNA from 1 species
GCGUUAAUAGUGUAGUGGUAACACACAACCCUUCCAAGGUUGAACUGGGGGUUCGAUUCCCUCUUAACGCA